CCUACGGGAGGCAGCAGUGGGGAAUAUUGCACAAUGGUGGAAACCCUGAUGCAGCGACGCCGCGUGAGUGAAGAAGUAAUACGUUAUGUUAAGCUCUAUCAGCCGGGAAGAAAAUGACGGUACCUGAGUAAGAAGCCCCGGCUAACUACGUGCCAGCUGCCGUGGUAAUACGGAGGGGGCAAGCGUUAUCCGGAUUUACUGGGUGUAAAGGGAGCGUAGACGGCAGUGCAAGUCUGGAGUGAAAGGCGGGGGGUCAACCCCCGGACUGCUCUGGAAACUGUACGGCUGGAGUGCAGGAGAGGUAUGUGGAAUUCCUGGUGUAGCGGUGAAAUGCGUAGAUAUUAGGCGGAACACCAGUGGCGAAGGCGGCUUACUGGACUGUAACUGACGUUGAGGCUCGAAAGCGUGGGGAGCGAACAGGAUUAGAUACCCGUGUAGUC
rnacentral:rRNA from 1 species